UCUGAUUCCCAGACUAUCUUCGUGCGGAAAGCCUGGAACUCGGAUGUCGGCGAUGGUUCGGAGAAUGGCUCCUGCUUCUACUUCAGAUGAAGGCAUUGGAUGGAUUCAUCAUGCUUGUGGCAAUAUCUCUCUGUGUGCGGGGUUACUCUGUUUUUAAAGAUGUAGAGAACUCAACUCAUCUAUGGAGGCAAUGCUUACUCCCGUUUGCGUCAUGACAGGGAUGUGACAACAUGCAGCAGUGGCCAAGGUCCCUAACAUAUAUCCACAUGUUGUUUUACUUGCAGCAUUUUAUGAUUGUUCCCGCAGUGUUAUUCAGAUGCAAGUCGUUGGUAUCUGGCCGCGUAUUCUGAAACACUUCAAACUCUCGUCCUCGUUUAUUGUUUAGGUUGUUCUGUCUACAUCAUCUCGUCGGUUAAUCUGGCAAGUAAUGCAUCAGAUCAUCGUUCACUAGAUAUGAUGGGAGUCUUGCUCUUGAGAUCAAGAAUAAAGCGCUCUUUCUUCACACUUUUAAUAAUUUACAUGAAUCAAGUUGCCCCAUCUUUGUGAAUGAUUUUUUUUUUUUUAUGAAAUGUUAUAUUGUGGCAAGA